rnacentral:rRNA from 1 species
UACGUAGGGUGCGAGCGUUGUCCGGAAUUAUUGGGCGUAAAGAGCUCGUAGGCGGUUUGUCACGUCGGCUGUGAAACCCCGGGGCUUAACUCCGGGCCUGCAUUCGAUACGGGCUGACUAGAGUUCGGCAGGGGAGACUGGAAUUCCUGGUGUAGCGGUGAAAUGCGCAGAUAUCAGGAGGAACACCGGUGGCGAAGGCGGGUCUCUGGGCCGAUACUGACGCUGAGGAGCGAAAGCGUGGGGAGCGAACAGG